GAUGAACGCUAGCGGCAGGCUUAACGCAUGCAAGUCGAGGGGCAGCACGGGUAGCAAUACCUGGUGGCGACCGGCGGAAGGGUGCGUAACGCGUGAGCAACAUACCCUAUACAGGGGAAUAAGCCAGGGAAACUUGGUCUAAUGCCCCAUAGCAAUAGAAUAAGGCAUCUUAUUUUAUUUAAAGCUUCGGUGGUAUAGGAUUGGCUCGCGUGACAUUAGCUGGAUGGUGAGGUAACGGCUCACCAUGGCGAUGAUGUCUAGGGGUUCUGAGAGGAAGGCCCCCCACACUGGGACUGAGACACGGCCCAGACUCCUACGGGAGGCAGCAGUGAGGAAUAUUGGACAAUGGAUGGAAAUCUGAUCCAGCCAUGCCGCGUGCAGGAAGACGGCCCUAUGGGUUGUAAACUGCUUUUCUACGUGAGCAAUAAGGUCUACGAGUAGACUGAUGAGAGUAGCGUAGGAAUAAGCAUCGGCUAACUCCGUGCCAGCAGCCGCGGUAAUACGGAGGAUGCGAGCGUUAUCCGGAUUUAUUGGGUUUAAAGGGUGCGUAGGCGGCUUUUUAAGUCAGCGGUGAAAUUUUGCAGCUUAACUGUAACAGUGCCGUUGAUACUGAGGAGCUAGGAUUUGGUUGCUGUGGGUGGAAUGUGUGGUGUAGCGGUGAAAUGCUUAGAGAUCACACAGAAUAUCGAUUGCGAAGGCAGCUCACAAAGCCAAGAUUGACGCUGAGGCACGAAAGUGUGGGGAUCAAACAGGAUUAGAUACCCUGGUAGUCCACACUGUAAACGAUGAUAACUCGCUGUCGGCGAUACACAGUCAGCGGCCAAGCGAAAGCAUUAAGUUAUCCACCUGGGGAGUACGAUCGCAAGGUUGAAACUCAAAGGAAUUGACGGGGGCCCGCACAAGCGGAGGACAUGUGGUUUAAUUCGAUGAUACGCGAGGAACCUUACCUG
rnacentral:rRNA from 1 species